GGCCGACUAGCUCAGUUGGUUAGAGCGUCGUGCUAAUAUUACAUAUUAACGCGAAGGUCUUGGGUUCGAUCCCCACGUUGGCCA